rnacentral:pre_miRNA from 1 species
AAUGGAAUUUCUGGGUGACAUGGUUUGACAUUUUGAAGAACUGUGGAGGCAUCUUCCAAAGUGGCUGUGCCAUUUCACAUUCCCCCCAGUAGC